GAGUGUGCAGCAUAGUGGUUUGAGCGCUGGACUAAGACUCUGGGGAACAGGGUUCGAAUCCUGUCUCGGUCA